GCAUAUUUUCUUAUACUUUCCUUCAAGAGAAAAUGAAGAGAAACUUAAUUUUAAUGGGCACUAAUUCAACUACAGUAUAUACAGUAAUAUUAUCUAUCAACAAUAUAUUCAUUACAUGAGAAAUUCGGCAUAUUGGCAGAGUAAAUUCCAUCAGUUUUCCAAUUAGUGGACCUGUGAUCGAUUUAUGAAUCAUCUUUUAAAUAAUUUAUAUGAAGAUUCCAUGCCGGCUCAUCGACUUCCUUCCUUUCGAAUUUAUUUUAAAUGGUUCAUCUUUCUUAACUAUAUAUUAUUAGAAAUUUUGAUAUCUGUUAAAGUUAACAUUUGUUUUGUUAGGUUAUGAUGUACUUUACCCCAUAUAAUUUAAAAAGUUUUUAAAAUAAAAUAAAAUUGUAAUUUUUUUGUCUUUUUAAUAUACCGUAAGAUAGGGCUACUUUGUGAAAAUCAAAAAGUUGUAUCUCACAGCGCGGUUCCUUACGAGGCAGAUUAAAUGAUUUUUCCAAUUGGCAGUUCUGUCCUGUCUAUGAUAUACUCUAGCAGCACACUUUGGUACAUCUUGUGUUUCGUUCAUUUUCCUGAACCACCUGUAUUUAGCUUUCUGUUAUGACUAAGUUUGUCAUAACUCUGCAAAUUAUAUCUGCACGGACUACUGUACAGGAACAGUGACGAAACAAGUAAAUUGGAAUAUGGUCCGUACCUACAAAAAAAAAAAAAAAGUGGGCAGUCGCCAUAUAAAAAUUACACCGAAAAGCACCUCCAAUGAUGCUUUGAAUGCCAUCAAAGCCAAAAUGAUGACACUACGAGAAGCUUCAGAGAGGUACGGCAUUCACAAAAAUACACUGUGGCUGAAAUCAAAGAGAAAGGCACAAAACACAAUCGGAGGUCAAAAAAUAUUUACUGACGAAGAAGAAAACAGUAUAGCAAUAUAUGCUAUUGCUGUCUGCAUAUGGAUUUCCUAUAACUAUUAUUGAUAUAAGGAGUAUUGCAUUAAAUGUUAUCUUGAUCGAAUUGGAAGAAAAAUAUAUUGUUUCAAAAAUAAUUUUCCUGGACGUGAUUGGGCUGCAUCAUUUAUGAAAAGACAUAACAAUAUAUUGUCUCAAUGUACUGCAAGCAGCAUCAACUAUUCAAGAGCUGCAACUGAUGAGGAAGUGGUUAAUAUGUAUUUUAAUCAUCUUGAAAAAGAAUUACAAGGUGUUCCUGCUUGCAACAUAUGGAAUGAUGAUGAGACUAAUUUGGUGGAUGACUUGGCAGCAAAAAAUCAUAACAAAAAAUAGGGGAAAACAGGGUGAAAUAAAUCAAUGUUUGCUGUUAAAAAAAAAAAUCAUAACAAAAAAUAGG
rnacentral:lncRNA from 1 species